AGAAUCCUACGGGGCGCAGCAGUAGGGUAUAUUGCUCAAUGGGGGAAACCCUGAAGCAGCAACGCCGCGUGGAGGAUGAAGGUUUUCGGAUUGUAAACUCCUUUUGUUAGAGAAGAUAAUGACGGUAUCUAACGAAUAAGCACCGGCUAACUCCGUGCCAGCAGCCGCGGUAAUACGGAGGGUGCAAGCGUUACUCGGAAUCACUGGGCGUAAAGAGCGCGUAGGCGGGAUAG
rnacentral:rRNA from 1 species